rnacentral:misc_RNA from 1 species
GAAAUGCGAUAAGUAAUGUGAAUUGCAGAAUUCAGUGAAUCAUCGAAUCUUUGAACGCACCUUGCGCUCCUUGGCAUUCCGAGGAGCAUGCCUGUUUGAGUGUCAUUAAAUUCUCAACCUCACCAGUUUUGUAAUGAGACUGUGUAAGGCUUGGAUGUGGGGGUUUUUGCAGGCUGCCUCUGUGCGGUCUGCUCCCCUGAAAUGCAUUAGCGAGUUCACUAAGCUCCGUCUAUUGGUGUGAUAAUUAUCUACGCCGUGGAAUGGGUUUAGACUUGCUUCUAACCGUCUGCAAAGACAACUUUUGACAAUUUGACCUCAAAUCAGGUAGGACUACCCGCUGAACUUAA